GAUGAACGCUGGCGGCGUGCCUAAUACAUGCCAGUCGAGCGAACAGACGAGGAGCUUGCUCCUCUGACGUUAGCGGCGGACGGGUGAGUAACACGUGGAUAACCUACCUAUAAGACUGGGAUAACUUCGGGAAACCGGAGCUAAUACCGGAUAACAUGUUGAACCGCAUGGUUCAACAGUGAAAGACGGUCUUGCUGUCACUUAUAGAUGGAUCCGCGCCGCAUUAGCUAGUUGGUAAGGUAACGGCUUACCAAGGCAACGAUGCGUAGCCGACCUGAGAGGGUGAUCGGCCACACUGGAACUGAGACACGGUCCAGACUCCUACGGGAGGCAGCAGUAGGGAAUCUUCCGCAAUGGGCGAAAGCCUGGCGGAGCAACGCCGCGUGAGUGAAGAAGGUCUUCGGAUCGUAAAACUCUGUUAUUAGGGAAGAACAAAUGUGUAAGUAACUAUGCACGUCUUGACGGUACCUAAUCAGAAAGCCACGGCUAACUACGUG
rnacentral:rRNA from 1 species